rnacentral:lncRNA from 1 species
CAUGUCUCAAACUCUUCAAGACUCCGACACUACUUGUCUCGACUUGUCACGAAUAUGCCAACACUAAAAUCCCUAACAUAUCUAUACCUCUAUACCUAUAUAUUAAUCUCUAAAAAGCUUGUCAUAUGGCAACAUUUUCUUCAUUGUUCAAUAUGGACGCCACUAGCCAAUUAAGGAUGUCAAUGGGUCGGAUUCAGGGUGAAUUUUCAAAAACAUGAUCCCGAACCCAACUCCAAACCCAAAACCCGAACCCGACGGAUUUUAAAAAUCCAUAUCCAAACCCGAACUCGACCAAAAAUCCGAAACCUAAACCCGAAGAUUCGAACCCGAAACAAUUAUUUCUUUUUUCCAUAUUUUAAAACAUAUUACAUUAAAUCUAAUUUUAAAAUACAAAUUCAAAUAUAACUUCAAAUUUUAUAUACAUAUUAUAUAUAAUGUAAAAGAUAUUUGGAUUCGGAUCAGGUUUGGGUCGGUUAUAGUCAAAAUCUAUAUCCGAGUCCAUAUCGGUCGGGUUUUUAUUUUUGAUAUCCAUAUCCAAAACCAUAUCCGUUUAGCAUCAAGUAAAUCCAUUCUGUUCGGGUUCGGAUUCGGAUAAAAUUUUGGAUAUUCGUACCCAUUGACAUCCUUACUGCCAAUAAUUUCUGCAUUGGGCUGAACCGGCCUACCUGGUUCUCUCUUCUUUUUUUGAAUACAAUCGCUCCAUAUGUUUUUCUCUUUCUUUCCUUGAAUUGAACCAGGGCACCCCUGACGACCCCGCCAAUACACUUU